rnacentral:lncRNA from 10 species
AUAAAUUUUCCUCUUAGAACUGCUUUUGAUGCAUCCCACAAGUUUUUGUAUGUUGUGUUUCCAUUAUUGUUUUUGUCUUUUUAAAAUAUGCUUCUGGUCCCUUUGUUCUCACUUUUCCUUCUGGAAUUACUGUUAUGUGGUAAUUAGGUCUCUUGAUAGUGUCCCAGAGUUCUCAUACCAUAUAAUUACAUGGAAAUUAAAGAACAUGCUCCUGAAUGACUUUUGGGUAAACAAUAAAAUUAAGCAAGAAAUAAAGAAAUUCUUUGAAAGUAGUAAGAACAAAGAUAUAACAUACCAGAAUCUCUGGGAGACAGCUAAAGCAGUGCUAAGAGGGAAAUUUAUAGUGCUAAACACCCACAUCAAAAAGUUAGAAAGAUCUCAAAUUAACAACCUAACAUCAAACCUAGAGGAACUAGAGUUUACUCCAGGAAGCUCAGCUUAGAAAUAGCUUCUUCAGCUUUUCCACUGAUUCUUAAUGAUUAAAAAACUGUAAGUGCUUAAUUGUCUCUGAUUCUAAAGUUAGAGACAGACAAAUGUAAGGGAUGAAACAAUUGGAGAGACAGUCAGGUCAUAAAGGACUUCAUAUGGCUUGUCAUACAAAAUUUAGAAUUUCUCUUACAAGUAAUGGGGAUCCAUUGCUUAUAAGAGAAUCCAUUUUAAGUGACAUUUUAAGAUUUAAAUUUUAGCUAGACCAAUACUACUCAAAGCAUGAUCCACACAUCAGUGCUGGACCAAAAGCUGUUUGCAAUAGAUCUACAAUAAAUAUAGAAAUUGAGAUUAAGUAUCUAAAAAUUUUUAUAGCAAUUUGACAUUGCUGCUACUUCCAAGUUUGUAACCAGUUGAAUUGGACAAAGUGUUAGUCUGUUAUUUAUUGGAAAUUUUAUAAAAAGAAUAACAUGAUACUGCUCCUUCACCGCAGGUGGUUUGAGAAGCACCAAGCUAGAUUAUUCUGGAGGUUAUGUGAAAGUUAAAGUGAAGGUAUACACAUGUUCUUACUUAUAAGUGGAAGCUAAGCUAUGGGUGUGCAGAGGCAAACAGGGUGGUAUAAUAGACACUGGAGACUCAGAAGGGGGAAAGUUGGAAGGGUUGAGGGGUGAAAAAUCACUUAUUUGGUACAGUGUGUACUGUUUGGAUGAUGAGUACACUAAAAGCCCAGACUUUACCAUUAUACAAUUCAUUCAUGUAACCAAAAACCACCAGUACCCCUAAAGCUAGUUAAAUAAAAAAUUAACAAAAAAUAAAAUGAAGAUAUAAAGAAAUAGGGAAAUGUCUAGCUAGGACAACAUAGUGAUUUCAUAUUUGAUAUACCCCUCUGGCCUGAACACAUAGCAGAGAGUGAUAAAAUGUAAAAAUAGAAAGCAAAAAUGAUACAGUCAGCUCUGAAAAUAAGAAAAUGGAAUAGAAAUGUGAAGCAGUGAGUGAAGUUGAAGUCCUGAGGUGCUGAGCUCCAGGUUGAGAAACAGAAACAGCCAUUCAGGAUUUUAGUGUCUGUGAGGGAUAAAUUACUUCAUGAUGUUAUGUUGGUACUAAAUUGAGUGUUGUUCACAAACCUAUUUCUUUUGAGCUUGAUCUUGAAAGAUAGUUUAGCUGGAUACAACUAUUUUCUUUCAGCUCCCCAUUACCUUCUGGGUUAACCUCUUUUGGAUAAUGAAUGUGAUAUCAGUAUAUCUUUAAUCUGUCUGUUUUUUCCCAGAUAGCUUUUAAGAUAUUCUUUUGGUCUUUGGUGUACCACAGUUUCAUUAUAGUGUGUCUGGCUGUAUUUUCUGGAUUUCUUUUUAUUUAUCCAGCUUGGGAUUUUGUAUGGUUCUUAAUGUCAUUAUCUUUUAAAACACUGUCUCUCUUUCAUGCUCUGUAUUCCCUUCUUUUGGAAAUUAUAUUAGAGAGAUGGUGAACAUUCUUAUUCUAUUCUAUGUGUCUUAUCACUCUGCAUUUACAUAUUUUAUUUGUUUUUUGUUUUUACUCUACUUUAAGUUAUUUUUUCAUACCACUCUUCCAAAUCAGCAAUACUCUCUUCUGCUAUGUAUAGUGUGUUGUUUACCGUAUCCAUUGAUUUUUAACUUCAAAAACCGUAUUCUUUUACUUCUGAAAGUUUUAUUUCACUGGUUUUCAAAUCUUUCUAUGUUUUUUCUUGAUAAUUGUAUAUCCCUUUUCGUGAUUUUCAGUUUUAUUUGAGAAAGGGUCUCACCCUGUGGCCCAGGCUGGAGUGCAGUGGUGUGAUGACAGCUCACUGCAGUUUCAAACUCUGAGGAUCAAGUGAUACUCCUGCCUCAGCCUCCUGAGUAGUUGGGAAUACAGUCACACACCACCAUGCCUGGCUAACAUUUUUUUUUUUAAUUUUGUGGAUGCAUAGUAUGUAUAUAUAUUUAUGGUAUACAUGAGAUGCUUUGAUACUGGCAUGUAAUGUGAAAUAAACACAUCAUGGCAAAUGGGGUAUCCAUCUUCUAAAGCAUUUAUCCUUUGAGUUACAAGAAUACAAUAACAUUCUUUAAGUUAUUUUAAAAUGUACCAUUAAGUUAUUAUUGACUGUAGUCACCCUGUUGUGCUAUCAAAUAGUAGAUCUUCUUUAUUUUUUCUGUUUUUUUUUUUUUUGUACCCAUUAACCAUCUCCACCUCGUCCAACACCCCCACUACCCUUCCCAGCCUCUGGUAACCAUCUUUCUACUCUCUAUGACUAUGAGUUCAAUUGUUUUGAUUUAUAGAUCCCACAAAUAAGUGAGAAUAUACAAUGUUUAUCUUUCUGUGCCUGGCUUAUUUCACUUCACACAAUGAUCUCCAGUUCCAUCCAUGUUGUUGCAAAUGACUGGAUCUCAUUCUAUUUUAUGGCUGAAUAGUACUCCAUUGUGUAUAUGUACCACAUUUUCUCUAUCCAUUCAUCUGUUAAUGUAUGCUUACGUUGCUUCCAAAUCUUGGCUAUUGUGAACGAU